GUUGAUGCUUAGACGGAAAAAAGUAGGUUAGCAGGUUGUACUCAGGGAGGGAUCGGGACUGUAAAGAUCCUUGCAACUGAUAACUGAAGUUCAUUUCUUGAGUACAUGGCUGGGAGGGCAUACCGAAAAGUCAUGCGGCCGAAUGGUCGUUAUCACUUACUAAGAGUCACCAUGUUUAUUUAUGGUGAAAUUAGGGUGGUACCGCGAAGUCUCGUCCCUUUA
rnacentral:ncRNA from 1 species